rnacentral:rRNA from 1 species
GAUGAACGCUCGCUACAGGCUUAUCACAUGCAAGUCGAGGGGCAGCAUGGUCUUAGCUUGCUAAGGCCGAUGGCGACCGGCGCACGGGUGAGUAACACGUAUCCAACCUGCCGUCUACUCUUGGACAGCCUUCUGAAAGGAAGAUUAAUACAAGAUGGCAUCAUGAGUCCGCAUGUUCACAUGAUUAAAGGUAUUCCGGUAGACGAUGGGGAUGCGUUCCAUUAGAUAGUAGGCGGGGUAACGGCCCACCUAGUCUUCGAUGGAUAGGGGUUCUGAGAGGAAGGUCCCCCACAUUGGAACUGAGACACGGUCCAAACUCCUACGGGAGGCAGCAGUGAGGAAUAUUGGUCAAUGGGCGCAGGCCUGAACCAGCCAAGUAGCGUGAAGGAUGACUGCCCUAUGGGUUGUAAACUUCUUUUAUAAAGGAAUAAAGUCGGGUAUGUAUACCCGUUUGCAUGUACUUUAUGAAUAAGGAUCGGCUAACUCCGUG